rnacentral:rRNA from 1 species
CCUACGGGAGGCAGCAGUGAGGAAUAUUGGUCAAUGGGCGCUAGCCUGAACCAGCCAAGCAGCGUGAAGGAUGACUGCCCUAUGGGUUGUAAACUUCUUUUAUAUGGGAGUAAAGUGCAGUAUGUAUACUGCUUUGCGUGUACCUUAUGAAUAAGGAUCGGCUAACUCCGUGCCUGCAGCCGCGGUAAUACGGAGGAGCCAAGCGUUAUCCGGAUUUGUUGGGUUUAAAGGGAGCGUAGGGGGGUUGUUAAGUCAGUUGUGAAAGUUCGCGGCUCAACCGUAACAUUGCAGUUGAUACUGGCAGCCUUGAGUACAGGAGAGGGAGGCGGAAUUCGUGGUGUAGCGGUGAAAUGCUUAGAUAUCACGAAGAACUCUGAUUGCGAAGGCAGCCUGCUGGACUGUAACUGACGCUGAGGCACGAAAGUGUGGGUAUCAAACAGGAUUAGAUACCCGAGUAGUC